AAUUGAUACAAAUCUUUUUCUUUUCUUUUAUGUUUUUCAGGUCCAAUUUAUGUGGGGUUUAUAUCAAAUGCACAAUUUUUCCUACUGAAGAUUACUACGAUUACAUCGUUGUCAGAGAUGGAACCGUUAGUUGUCCACUGGCGACGACUCUGUUGGAAAUCCGGCCUACUUUAAAAGAAAAUCUCAUAAGUACAGCAGGCUAAAGGUAGCCUUCGCUCUUACCCUCUCAAUAGUUUGUCUGCUUGUGGGUUUGCUGUUUUUAGCCUUUGGAUGUCGUAGAAAAACCAGAAAUUGGACAGUGAAACAGAAUUUCAAUAAAGAAGAACAAACUAUCUCGAGAUUCUUUUCUUUCCAGAUUGAUUCAACCACUUGGGUAGCUGAUGUUAAGCAAGCAACAUCUGUCCAAGUUCUAAUCUUUGAAAAGCCGUUGCUUAAUUUUACAUUUUCAGACCUCUUGUCUGCAACUUGUCAUUUGAUCGAGGCUCAUUGUUGGUAGAAGGGAGGUAUGGACCGGUUAAUUUGGCUGUUAAAGUUCUAGUCCUAAUCUUGUUCCUCUAACUAGAUAUGGCUUGACCAGAGAUUUUCUCUUAAAGAAGGCCGGAUUUAAGACGAUAGGGCAGUUGUUGCAAAAUUCCAAAGGAAUUGUCCCAUCUAUGGAGUUAUUUGCUAAUCGAAUGAACACAAGACACUUCAAGCCAGCAAUUCCAACUGGUGUACUUUCAUCAAGCCUGUUAAACUUUGAGUUGUCAAGACUCAACAAGAAAGUGGGUUGACUUGUCAAGAUUUAACAGAAUAUACUUCUCAUUUACAAAUUUCUGUUUUCCACAUCAAUUUUCCGUCCAUUUGGAGAGAUGGGAGUUAAAUGAGUGGUGAAUGGAUA
rnacentral:lncRNA from 1 species